UGGAAGAAACUUUAAAAGUUCUUGGAAUGUUCUUUAUUGACUGACCUUCAUGUCUUAAAGUAAUGAUGGACUGUAAUUUCUCUUUGCUUAUUUGAGCAAUUCUUGCCAUUUAUAUGGAUUGGUCUUUUACCAAGUAGCGCUAUCUUCUGUAUACCACCUCUACCUUGUCACAACACAACUGAUUGGCUCAGACGCAUUAAGAAAUAAAUCAAUUCCACAAAUGAACUUUUAACCAAAGCUGUCAUUAAGGCAAAUGGUGGUUAUUUGAAGAAUUGGAAAUAUAUCAAAUAUAUUUUGAUUUGGUGUAACACUUUUUGGUUGCUACAUGAUUCCAUAGUUUUGAUGUGGUACGACACUCCAUACAGUAUGGGACUAGGUCACACUUAGCCUAUUCUACCACUGUGUAAAUGGAUAGAAUGUAAUAUUGACCAUGUGAGCCGCCCCUAAAGCAAAUAAAUGCUUGUGGUACGACUGAAAUCUUGACAUUCUUGAGUUAAAAAAUAACAUGUUGCCCCACUUUUUUUUUCUUCUUUUUUUUGUCCUUGAAGCGAGUGUUUUGAUUUUGGUUCAAUUUAAACUUAUUGAAAUUAACUGUACUGAAAUUGAAGCAAACUUUGCAAAGGUAGAAACCAAUGGAGGCUGCUGAGGGGAGGACGGCUCAAUAAUGGCCGGGAAUGGAGUGAAUGUUAUCAAACACAUUCAUGUGUUUUGAUUCCAUUCACUGCAUUCUAACCAUUAUCGUCCUCCCCUCAGCAGCCUCCAUUGGUGGAAGCACCCACUAUAAGGCCUAUUGUAUAAAUCACAGAGGUUUCUAUCUUCAUGGGAUUUAAGUUGCGGAUGAUUUGUGUGUUUCCUAGUACUCCUCCCACAAAGUUGUUGAAUGAAAGAAGGUUGAGAUAUAAGAAUAUAUACUUUAAUGCUAGGUAGGUUUGCAGUUUGCAUGAGUAAGAAUACCAAUGUAGAAAGUUAAUCAUACAUUGAGAAGUUAUACACCAUCUUGGUACUGUCUAUGAUGUCAAAUGUCUUGUGACAUUAAGAUGAAAUGCUUGACCUAUAUUUUCAUUCAUAGAUCUUUGUUAGGUAGAACUGGUUGUUGCAUACCUUGUAUGAAAAAUCUGCCAUUACUUUCUCCUACUCAUAACACAAAAUGGUUGGUGUGCAUUUGCAAAUUAAACUUUGUGUUAGUUGGGAUGUUAAGCUGAGAGCAAAAUUACCAAAAACAGAGCACCUCUUUGUCGGUCACUGUGAAAAAAAAAAUUUGUUUCCAGUUGCACAUAGUGUUUGCCUUUCGGGUCUGAUCUUGCUUCAGUGGCCCCUACUGGUAUAAGGUAACUCUUUCUCAGUCAUGACACAGUGUCUUCAGAAAGCAAUCAUACCUCUUGACUUUUACACAUGUUGUGUUACAGCCUCAAUUCAAAAUGUAUUAAAUAUAUAUUUCUCACCCAUCUACAGACAAUACCUCAUAAAUGACAAAGUGAAAACAUGUUUUAGAAUGUUUUUGCAAAUGUAUUGAAAAUGAAAUACAGAAAUACAUAAUUUACGUAAGUAUUCAUACCCCCUUAGUCAAUACAUGUUAGAAUCACUUUGCAGCGAUUACAGCUGUCUUUCUAGGUAAGUCUAAGUGCUUUGCACACCAGGAUUGAACAUUUAUCUGUACUUUUGUUUUUAAUUCUUCAAGCUCUGUCAAGUUGGUUGUUGCUAGAUAGCCAUUUUCAAGUCUUGUCAUAGAUCUUCAAGCCAAUUUUAAGUCAACUGUAACUAGGCCACUCAGGAAUAUUCAAUGUUGUCUUUGGCCUUGUUUUUUAGGUUAUUGUUCUGCUGAAAGGUGAAUGAGUCUCCCAGUGUCUGUUAGAAAGCAGACUGAACCAAGUUUUCCUCUAGGAUUUUGCCAUUGCUUAGCUUUUUUUUUUUUUUAUCCCCAAAAACUCCCUAGGCCUUGCCGAUGACAAGCAGACCCAUAACAUGAUGCAGCCACGGCCAUGCUUGAAUAUAUGAAGAGUGGUACUCUGUGAUGUGCUGUUUGAUUUGCCCCAAAUAUAAUGCUUUGUAUUCAGGACAUAAAGUUGAUUUCUUUGCCAAAGUUCUUGCAGUUUUUAUUCAGUGCCUUAUUGCAAACAGGAUGCAUAUUCUGGAAUAUUUUAUUCUGUACAGGCUUUCUUUUAACUCUGUCAUUUAGGUUAGUAUUAUGGAGUAACUACAAUGUUGUUGAUCCAUCCUCAGUUUUCUAUCGCAGCCGUUUAAACCGUUUUAAAUACUCCAUUGAUAAACCAAUGUAAUUAAUAAUUUCACCAUGCUCAAAGGAA